AUGAAACUGAGGAACACACCACAUUUCCAGGUGGUUAAGUGUUUGGUGGCUGGGGGAGUUGUUGGUGGAAGGAUGAGUUUCCAAGCCUCAUGUUCCUCUUCUGUUAAAAUGGAAUCCUCUCUGAAGAUUAUCUAUUUUAUCAUCUUAAAAAGACAUCUUCAUGGAUAUGAAACUGGACGCAGAGUUGACGCUGAAGUUCAGCUGCUGAGUCAUCUUCCAUUUCUAGAGACUGCUCGAUUUCCUGCUAAACACACUUGGGGCUUCUUCCUGGAGAGGAGCAACUGGUUCAGAGCAGCGGGGGUGGGCAGCGUCUCAGCCAUGAGGAAGCCGAGAAGCGGAUGUCUGCCUCCCCUCCUCCCUCCCAGAGGACCUGGAUGUGAAACUAACCCAGAGUGGACGCUGAAGCUCAGCUGCCAAGUAAUCUCCCAUUCCCAGAGAGACUGCACAGCUUCCUGCUCAAUGCCAGGUGGGGCUUCAUCCUGGAGAGGAGCAACAGGUGAGCAGAUGUGGCUGCCCCAGUGGUGACUGUAGCCUGGGUGCCCGAGGGGAAGGGAAGGGACAGCCUGUUCCCUGGAGUUGGGUGGCCCAUGCAGACAGAGAUGUGGACUUCAUUCCCAUGGCAGGGAGGGUCAUGUGGGUAGCCCCACAGGCAUGGGGAGAAAUGUAGGGGCCUGGUGGGCUUCAAUAGAGUGUGAGAGCAUGGAAACAGGGGUGGGUAGGAUGUUGGGGAAUGAGUUCCCCCAGGCUCUGCAGAGCAUUAGGGACCAAAGAACAUGGUAAUAGGGGAAUACUUGGGUAUGCAGGAAAUGGGAGGGAGACCUGGAGGACAAGUGUGUGCUGUUGAGUCAGAGUACAAAACCCAGGAAGUCUGGUUUGGAGAGAUGUGCUAAUAAAAGUUUGGGUUUAGAUUCCA
rnacentral:lncRNA from 1 species